rnacentral:rRNA from 1 species
GUCAGAGGUUCGAAGGCGAUCAGAUACCGCCCUAGUUCUGACCGUAAACGAUGCCACCUGACGAUCCGCCAGGGUUACUACCAUGACUCGGCGGGCAGUCCCCGGGAAACCCAAGCCUUCGGGUUCCGGGGGAAGUAUGGUUGCAAAGCUGAAACUUAAAGGAAUUGACGGAAGGGCACCACCAGGAGUGGAGCCUGCGGCUUAAUUUGACUCAACACGGGGAACCUCACCCGGCCCGGACACCGCGAGGAUUGACAGAUUGAGAGCUCUUUCUCGAUUCGGUGGGUGGUGGUGCAUGGCCGUUCUUAGUUGGUGGAGCGAUUUGUCUGGUUAAUUCCGAUAACGAACGAGACUCUAGCCGGUUAAGUAGCCCGAGCGGUUUUUGAUCUUUGCCGUUCAUCCCCGUUCGACCUUUGCGUCGUCCCCUUUUUUCGGGCCGUCUCCGUCGUUUUCCGUUUCUCUGGUUUCCCGAUUGUCCGUCGUCCCGUCGAUCCGUUCGACGGGUGCCGACGGUUUUCGCGGUUUCCAGGGGGCGGCGGCGGAACGGUGCGUUCAGGGGGUAUACGCUCGGUCGUUUCGGGGUGAAAGCAUAACCGAAGGCCGCCGGCUUUUAAGGAAGCUUCUUAGAGGGACGAGCGGCGUUCAGCCGCCCGA